GUGUUGUGCCUCCUUGAGCUUGCGACGCCCUGUGUGCAACCUUCCACGAGCUGCCGCUGCAUGCUGCUGUGCGUCCGUGAGCUGCUGCGAGGUCUCACUGUGUGGAACCUUCCCCGAGCUGCUGCUUCUUCCUGCUGACCCUCGCCGAGCUUGCUGCUGCCGCAAUGGGCUCUGCCUUCCCCGAGCUGCUGCACAGAAAAUCUGGAGAUGAUUUCUUCGGAGUUUGUUGAUUAACUAUGUUUUAGGGGCAAAUCUGGGAGUUGGUUCAGACUCAUACCAAGGCAAAAGGUGGACGUAUUGACAUGUUGCACUAGAGGAACAACGACCUUGGGGGAGCAGGUGACGGUCGAAGGAAUGGCAUAUAGUGGCACAUACCAGGUUGCAGCCACCACUGCCGUUGUCGCUGCCGUCGUCGUCGUCGUCGCCGCCGUCGUGGAGAUCGAGGUCGCCUUCGCCGCUGCCACCCAAAUCGUAUCAGACGAGCGUGAUAUCUGGGACAGAACGAUCGGGGUUGGCUGCCUCUCACGUAGAUCAACACGAGGGCUUGUUGGUCAUUUUGCUGUGGCCCGUCUCGUCGGGGGCAAAUCCUCAAGAUUACAGCAAAUGCGUGGCAAAUCCUCAGUUACAGGGUAAACAGGGGCAAAUCCUCAAAGUGUAAUUAAAGGCGUGGCAAAUCCUCAAAUUCCCCAUUAUUUCAGUUUCCUAACAUACAGAAAAGCCCCGAUCUGUUAUCUUCAGGUUGUAGUUGAGACUUCAUUUAUGCCGAGUAUGCUGUAGCAGCUGAACAUCGUCAUCGCUCAAAUGUGUAGGAGUGCCUGCUUUCCAUGAUGUACCGAUGUCAUUGAUGUGCCUUUUGUGAUGAGAAAGGAACUAGGUAUUGCAGAUGAUGUUACGGUGGUCAUUUUCUACAUUUGAGGACAGAUUGCCAAGAUAAAUAGAGGAUGCAUGGAUAAGUUGUUUUUGGCAAGGCGGAGAAUGGGACUACUACCAACAUAGUUUUACGUUAAGUUUUUAGAAAGCCGUUUUCAUGGUCAGUGUAUAGAAAAUGAUGUGACGUCAUUUUCAGGGUCAAUGUAAAGAAAAUCAUGUGUUUACUCUUUCGAUUUUGUUCCAUGUAAUGCAACCAAUCAGAUUCAAUAUAUGAGCUCUCCCUAUUUACUGAUUUUUUACUCUUGUGCACCAUCAAUAUUAACCGAAUAAUUGUUGUUGUUAAUAUAUAUAAAAUAUUGGCAAUUGUGCAUGCUAUGCAUCAACGCUUGCACUAAUAUGUUUAUGGCAAUUCCAAAUAGUUCUGGGUAGCUGUGACUCCCGGGUAAUCAAGCUACA